UGUCGUUGGUGGACAGGCAUACAGCCCGGGGCAAACUUCCGCUAUGUCCUCGUCCCGCACCCCGUGCUCCCCCUGCCUCCCUCGCACCUCGCCCACGGCCUCCGGGCGGACUGCGAGGGGCUGAUCCAGAGCCUUUUCCUUGAUUUGAUUGUGGACCAUACGCGCUGCGUUAGCUCGCCACCCGAAAAGGUGCAUGGGACUGUGUGAAUAGCCCCCGGCAAGUGGGCAACCGGAACUCGUCGUGCGACGGCCGCGCACGAUAAGUGGCCUACCCUCCGGGCGCCCACCUGGCCGCCGCGUCGCGAGUGCUGAGGCGGAGCCAUGCGGGCCACGCUGAUAACAGAAAUUGCCAUCGCUGGAAAAACAUUGGGCCACCGGUAAAAUACGGCUGGGCCGUGCGGGGCGCCAUCGGGGCGGCGUGUAUGUUGUGGCCGUGAAGACGGCCGAAACUGCCUCGACGACGCGGUGCCUGCCCCGAGUCCACCAUGGGAGUGUUUGGAAAAUGCGGCCACUGCGGCUGACGCGCUGCGGACCCGAUAUACCUCCAUCCAUACCAUCCAUAUACCGUCCAUGAGGACUCCUCCGUCAUCCACAUGCCUGCGUAUGAACCUGUUCGUUGUCAGUAUACGACCAGUCGCAAUUAUUCGACCGUACCAUCAUUCGUUCGCGCAAAGGAGAAAGAAUAAACUGAACCAAAAUAUUA